CAGCCGUAAACAAUGUGCGUUAGGUGUGUCGGUAACCACGCGUUACUGAUGCGCCGAAGAGAAAUCGUGAAACGCACCACCUGGGAAGUACGGUCGCAAGGCUGAAACUUAAAGGAAUUGGCGGGGGAGCACCACAACAGGUGGAGCCUGCGGUUUAAUUGGAUUCAACGCCGGACAUCUCACCGGAUAAGACAGCCGAAUGAUUGUCAAUCUGAAGGUUUUACAUGACUAGCUGAGAGGUGGUGCAUGGCGUCAGUGACU
rnacentral:rRNA from 1 species